UUGAGUGAAGCUGAGCUGCGAGCCCAGCCUGCGCACACAGGGAGGAGCCAGAGGGAGCCGAGGGGCCGCCCGCCCUGCUGGGCAGGGGCAAGGAGAGGCGCUGCUGCCCCGAACUCGCGCCCGGCCGCCCGCCCGCAGAUCUAAUUAUCCUCAUUUACCGUGCGCGCUGAUUGCCUCCCGAGAGCCAGGUGGCCGGUGGGGCCGGCCCACUUUCAGGAGGCGCUCUGGAAAGGGGCGAGCGUCCGCUGGGCCUGGGUUUGCCCAGGUGGGAUGCAUGGCCGUCCAUGAUUCCUAAAAUGUCACGUCACUGAGAGGCGGACAGGAGCAGAGCAUUCAGCUCGUACAAAGUUCCCGAGAUAGGGGUGGCCUGGUUUUCCUGGAAGAACAACAUGGAAGCUGAGGUGGCCAGAGGCGAAUUUUCCAGAGAGCCACGAGAAUCUCCCAGACACGCGGAGCAGAGGCUGCACCUUGCUGCAGGUCGGAGCUGCUGGCCUUGCCUGGGCUCUCGCCCGCCCCCCGCCUCCCACGAGCCUUCUGCGGAGCAGCUGUGGGAACAGCGAGUGGGGAAGGAGGUUUGGAGGGGCUCCGGGGGCCGCGUUCCCGCGGCGUGACGGCCCACGCAGGGCCUCCGGGCGCCGAAUGUUUCCCCGGCAGCCUGGUGACUCAGCCUGGCAGCCUCCUGCCAGUCUGCAGAGGGACAGAGGGGGCCCCGGCGCCUGCUGCUCCCGAGCAGGGCCGGUGACCCGCAGCCUGCAGGGGCUUCCCCAGGCCUCGGAGAGGAGACCGAAGAAUUUGCCUGUGGCCCAAGCUCGGCCUCCCACGAAGUGUUUCCCCUCCCCACCGCAGCCCCGCCCACGAGGUGCCCCUCCCCACCGCAGCCCCGCCCACGAGGUGCCCCUCCCCACCGCAGCCCCGCCCACGAGGUGCCCCUCCCCACCCCCAGCUCUUUCCAUGGCCUCUUCUGGCCUUUGUUUUUGUGGUUCGUUCUUUGCUGUUUGCCUUUAAAACAGAUUUUAAAAUAUUUCCUUUGAGGGUGGGGUGUGCACUGCGGACAUGCUGCGUAGGGUCUGGGGCGCAGGGAAGAGCAGACGGGCCGCAGUGCUCUGUCCUUCCACCACACAGGACUCGGACUCAGGUUGUCGGGCCCCGGCCCCUGCCGACGCCAUGGCUGGCUUUGGUGGAGCGGCUCCAGUCUGCCCGCCCCCGGGACUUAAGAUGCUCCUGUGUCAGCCUCCAAAGUGCGGGGUGACAGGGGUGCCCCCAGGCAUGGCUGAAGUUGGUUACAAAGGCAGAAAGAGAAAGAGGAGAGAGAAGGAAAAGGGAGAGGAGGGAAAGGAACAUGGGGAGGAAAGUGUAUGUGGCUGUGCACGUGUGUGUUGUGUGUGUAUGUCUGUGCUAUGUGUGUAUGAGUGUGUGUGUGUGCUAUGCUAUGCUGUGUGUGUGUCUGUGCUGGGCUGUGUGUGUGUCCUGAGAGUGUGUGUGUGAGUGUGUGUGUAUGAGUGUGUGUGUGUGUCCUGAGUGUGUGUGUCCUGAGAGUGUGUGUGUGAGUGUGUGUGUAUGAGUGUGUGUGUGUGUGUCCUGAGUGUGUGUCCUGAGUGUGUGUGUCUGUGUGUGACUGUGUGUGUGUGUCCUGAGUGUGUGUGUAUAUGUGUGUGACUGUGUGUGUGUCCUGAGUGUGUGUGAGUGUGUGUGUGUGACUGUGUGUGUCCUGAGUGUGUGUGUAUGUGUGUGUGACUGUGUGUGUGUGUCCUGAGUGUGUGUGCAUAUGUGUGUGCAUAUGUGAGUGUGUGUGUGAGUGUGUGUGUCCUGAGUGUGUGUGCGUAUGUGAGUGUGUGAGUGUGUCCUGAGUGUGUGUGCGUAUGUGAGUGUGUGAGUGUGUCCUGAGUGUGUGUGUGAGUGUGUGUGUGUGUGUGUGACUGUGUGUGUGUGUCCUGAGUGUGUGUGUGUGUGUGUGUCCUGAGGUAGAAGGUGCUGGAGCACAGAGUGAGCAGGUGCAGCGGUGCGGCUCAGGCGGUUCUGGGUGAGCCAUCGGAGGCUGAACAGAGGAGGACUCCCAUCUUCCUCUCCAUGCUCAGAUCAAGUCCUCGGCAGCUGGGCAGCACAUGCCCUGAGGAACAGGCUUCAUGUGCCUAGAGGAGACAGGGCCUCACAAAGCCCAGGCUGGCCUUGAACUCACAGAGAUCCUCCUGCCUCUGCCUCCUGAGUACUGGAAUUAAAGGCAUAGGUCACAACUACCCA